AAUAGAUACCCUGGUAGUCCACGCCGUAAACGAUGAGUGCUAAGUGUUAGAGGGUUUCCGCCCUUUAGUGCUGAAGUUAACGCAUUAAGCACUCCGCCUGGGGAGUACGGCCGCAAGGCUGAAACUCAAAGGAAUUGACGGGGGCCCGCACAAGCGGUGGAGCAUGUGGUUUAAUUCGAAGCAACGCGAAGAACCUUACCAGGUCUUGACAUCCUCUGACAACCCUAGAGAUAGGGCUUCUCCUUCGGGAGCAGAGUGACAGGUGGUGCAUGGUUGUCGUCAGCUCGUGUCGUGAGAUGUUGGGUUAAGUCCCGCAACGAGCGCAACCCUUGAUCUUAGUUGCCAUCAUUCAGUUGGGCACUCUAAGGUGACUGCCGGUGACAAACCGGAGGAAGGUGGGGAUGACGUCAAAUCAUCAUGCCCCUUAUGACCUGGGCUACACACGUGCUACAAUGGACGGUACAAAGAGCUGCAAGACCGCGAGGUGGAGCUAAUCUCAUAAAACCGUUCUUAGUUCGGA
rnacentral:rRNA from 1 species